UAGGUUUCAAGUUGAGAGGACGUGUGCUCAGCGUCGCUCCUCAAUUUAAGUCCCGAACCAGCUUUGACCUAACAAGAGGAGUUACAGUACCACACAGACUGUUAGUGGAGUUAAACACUGCGGGUGGUGCCACAAGGGGGACCUCUUAAGAAGAAAUAAUGGAUUUGGUUUGUGAGUGUUCUUCCGCCAGCACGGGGAGGCCUCUGAACAACCUUUUCCGAGAUACUGUUUACAAGUAACUUAGAGAAGUGCUGGUACAGUUGCAGGGUGGCAUCCAUUCAUCAGAGGUGGAGCUGUAGCUUGGCAAGAAUCACAAAUCCUCAGCUUCCAAAGAGCCAUGGCUUACUUCUCAUUUUGUACCCCCUGCUACUGUCCUGCACCCUGCUGCUGUCGCGGAUCCUGCUGCUGUCGCGGAC